rnacentral:rRNA from 1 species
AGUGAACGCUGGCGGUAGGCCUAACACAUGCAAGUCGAACGGCAGCACAGUAAGAGCUUGCUCUUACGGGUGGCGAGUGGCGGACGGGUGAGGAGUACAUCGGAAUCUACUUUUUCGUGGGGGAUAACGUAGGGAAACUUACGCUAAUACCGCAUACGACCUACGGGUGAAAGCAGGGGAUCUUCGGACCUUGCGCGAUUGAAUGAGCCGAUGUCGGAUUAGCUAGUUGGCGGGGUAAAGGCCCACCAAGGCGACGAUCCGUAGCUGGUCUGAGAGGAUGAUCAGCCACACUGGAACUGAGACACGGUCCAGACUCCUACGGGAGGCAGCAGUGGGGAAUAUUGGACAAUGGGCGCAAGCCUGAUCCAGCCAUACCGCGUGGGUGAAGAAGGCCUCCGGGUUGUAAAGCCCUUUUGUUGGGAAAGAAAAGCAGCAGGUUAAUACCCCGCUGUUCUGACGGUACCCAAAGAAUAAGCACCGGCUAACUUCGUG